UACGAAGGGGGCUAGCGUUGCUCGGAAUUACUGGGCGUAAAGCGCACGUAGGCGGUUUGUUAAGUCGGAUGUGAAAUCCCUCGGCUCAACUGAGGAAGUGCAUCCGAAACUGGCAAGCUUGAGUACGAAAGAGGGUCGCGGAAUUCCCGGUGUAGAGGUGAAAUUCGUAGAUAUCGGGAGGAACACCGGUGGCGAAGGCGGCGACCUGGGUCGAUACUGACGCUGAGGUGCGAAAGCGUGGGGAGCAAACAGG
rnacentral:rRNA from 1 species